rnacentral:rRNA from 1 species
GACGUAGGUGGCGAACGUUAUCCGGAAUUAUUGGGCGUAAAGGAUACGUAGAUGGUGUAGUAAGUUAUCGGUGGCAAAUCGAGGCUCAACCUCGUGGAAGUCGGUAAUACUGCUAUGCUAGAGGAUAGGAGAGGUUAACGGAACUCCCUGUGGAGCGGCGAAAUGCGUAGAUAUAGGGAAGAACACCAAUCAGGCGAAGGCAGUUAACUAUUCUAUUCCUGACAUUGAGGCAUGAAAGCGUGGGGAGCAAAACGG